rnacentral:rRNA from 1 species
AACGAACGCUGGCGGCAUGCCUAACACAUGCAAGUCGAACGAGACCUUCGGGUCUAGUGGCGCACGGGUGCGUAACGCGUGGGAACCUGCCCUUAGGUUCGGCAUAACUCCCCGAAAGGGGUGCUAAUACCGGAUAAUGUCUUCGGACCAAAGAUUUAUCGCCAUUGGUUGGGCCCGCGUUGGAUUAGCUAGUUGGUAGGGUAAAAGCCUACCAGGGCGACGAUCCAUAGCUGGUCAGAGAGGAUGAUCAGCCACACUGGGACUGAGACACGGCCGAGAAUCCUACGGAAGGGGGGAGUGGGGGAUAUAGGACAGUGGGGGGAGUGAUGAACGUGCAAGGACGGGUAAGUGAUGAAAGCAGGAAGGAAGUAAAGCUCUUUUACCCGGGAUGGUAAUGACGGUACCGAAAGAAUAAGCUCCGGCUAACUCCGUG